ACUGCAUUUGCAAAACUUUUUUGCUAAGCUC
rnacentral:piRNA from 1 species